rnacentral:rRNA from 1 species
GACGAACGCUGGCGGCGUGCUUAACACAUGCAAGUCGAACGGAAAGGCCCUGCUUUUGUGGGGUGCUCGAGUGGCGAACGGGUGAGUAACACGUGAGUAACCUGCCCUUGACUUUGGGAUAACUUCAGGAAACUGGGGCUAAUACCGGAUAGGAGCUCCUGCUGCAUGGUGGGGGUUGGAAAGUUUCGGCGGUUGGGGAUGGACUCGCGGCUUAUCAGCUUGUUGGUGGGGUAGUGGCUUACCAAGGCUUUGACGGGUAGCCGGCCUGAGAGGGUGACCGGCCACAUUGGGACUGAGAUACGGCCCAGACUCCUACGGGAGGCAACAGUGGGGAAUAUUGCACAAUGGGCGGAAGCCUGAUGCAGCAACGCCGCGUGCGGGAUGACGGCCUGCGGGUUGUAAACCGCUUUCGCCUGUGACGAAGCGUGAGUGACGGUAAUGGGUAAAGAAGCACCGGCUAACUACGUG